ensembl:lncRNA
CGGGUUACUGAUUUAUCCCAUUAGUCACAGCUUAGAGGUCACAGUAGCACAUUCAGGGGCUAUUUGUCCACUAGCUGGAGUCACUAACGGCUGACAAAACCGUCCUCGUUUCCAGCUCCCUGUGGCUGUGUACGAAUCAGAGUUGGGAGUAGGCAUGGCGCCUGGAACCCUCUGCACCCCUUUUCCCAACUGCAGAGCAUCCCCAUUAGGCAGCACAGCGAACCUGUGCCUACAGGCAGCUCGGUGGCUCCAGCUUUCCUUCCCCGGGGACUGCUGGGACACUCACGCAGAGCCUGAUAUUUUCCAGAAGAGGUGUAAACCAUCUGUCAUGAAUUUAAGGGAACUGACAACAGCAGUUGAUUUUCUUAGCUGCCUUUCCCCUACAGAUAACCCAGAGGUCCCCCCAGGGCCUGCAGACAAUAGGUUGCAAACUGUUGGCAUUGAUAGAUGGGCUUCCUCCCCCUCCACACAGCCUGGAAAAGUGCUUGCCUGUCUUGUUGCUUAAACAAAUCAAAUGUUCCAACCCCAAACAAUGGUAGAGCUAAUAACAGAAACAGGGACUGCUUUAGGGUUUGAUUCUCCUACUUUCCGAUCCUUUCCAUUCCCACCCCUCUGCUUCAGCACUGAGAUUGCAUUUCAUUUAAUUAUUAAGUGUGUGCGCAUGUGUGGCGAAGAAUUACAAAAAUCAAUCCAAAGAUACCAGUGUCUUGAACUGUGGAAUUGAUGCAGGAUUUGAGCUGGCAAGGUGGAGGAUUAAUCUUCUACAACAGCAACAACAGCAGAUCACCGUAUGCCUUUCCCUCACCUGGCUGACUCCUUCGAAUCAAUGAUCUCUCUAUCAGCUCACAGGGAUGGGAUCCAGUCAUGGGAAGAACCAGACACAUGCGGCUGCAGCGCCAGUGUGAAUACAGAAACACAGAAGCAGGGGCAUGUUUACUGCUGCAGGCUCCUGGAGGGGAGCGUGGCUUACAGCUCCCGCACCCAUGUGCCAAGGUACUUGUGGUACAGACGUGUUAAAACCCUUGCACCACAAAAUACUGGAUCUAUUUUGAGGGUGAGAAAGCAUCUGGCUAGCAAACUAGCUAUGUAAGUUUGGGCCUGGCUCUGUUAAAAACCUUGUUUCUUCCAGAAUAUUGGAAGUAAUGAAACUGCCUGCAGUAAAAUACCUGAUAAGCCUUUCCUCCUCUAUAGAGAGGGUAAAUGCAUGUAAUUUUCCAAUUAGCUCUUGCUCUGAGCAAUUAUGUUGAUCAAAUAAUUGAAUAAGUGACAGGAAUGUGAAUUCUGGAGACAGUUAAUUUCCUUCAUCUGCCAUUUUAUAGCUUGACUUGCAUGAACACAUAAACCAGGCUAACGUGUUAUUUAUAACUUUGGAAGUACAGUUAUAAUGGGCAUGAAGAGCUAUGUUUUCGGUGUGCAGAGAGGGAGGUUUCUGCUAGUAAAUUACAAUAAUAGCAUAAAAAGUCAGUUUGCAGUUUAUAGCAAGCAUGUGGGACAGGAAGAAUGUGGGGCUUGCAGAUGAAACAGUGAGUAAGGUCAGCGGCAGUCCUAGCAGGGCUGCAAGUGGCCUUGACAACAGUGCAGGGCAGAGGGGCAGCCAAAGCCUUACUGUCAUGUUUGGUGACACAUGGCAUUUGUGCUGCUUGGGGACUGUCAGCACAGCUCCACCUCCCCCUAGGCAUUCCUGCUCUGCUGCACACCCACCCACCCCCCUCAAAAUGAAGCUAAGCAUCAUUUUUGAGGGAGAGCCAGGACCAAGACCAUUUUGCAUGGAAGAUGCUUUGCAAAAGAGAUGAACAAGGUGUUUCCUACUUGGGAUAGGUCCUGGACAAGAACCAGGGUUCUCUGGAAAAGAAAAAAAAGACAGUCCAACAUGCUCAGCACUGAUGCACAGGAACAACCUUCACAAACCUGGUCCUGACUUCCAGCAAAAGCACAAACAGCACUUGGGAGCUUUUCUUCAGAAAUAAUUAAAAAAAAAAAAGAGUUAGGAAAACAAAGCAUUUGUUUUUCUUCGUCUAUCUUUAGGUUGUCUAAACCGGUUGUACAUUUUAUCUGAAGCCCCUGUAGCAAUCUGGCCUCCCAUCCAACAGGAACUAAUUAGCAGAGACGUACAGUAAUAAAAGUAGCACACAGGCACA